GGGCGAAUGGUUUAGUGGUAUAAUACUCCCUUAGCAUAGUUGAAUCUUGUGAUCCGACGAGUUCUUCUGGGAGUGGUCCAGGGUUCGAUUCCCUGUUCGUCCA
rnacentral:tRNA from 1 species